AACCGGUGCAAGCACAAUAGAUGUGCGGGAGGAAAAACCCCCGCAUAAGUCGAAGGUGUGACGCGGACCGAAAAAGAGUAGGGAAGCUGUUAAGCAAGCCGUCAAGAAAAGCUGCUAUUGUUUCAUUAUGGCCCGUACCGUAAACCGACACAGGUGGAUGGGGAGAGAAUCCUAAGGCCGGCGGAAGAAGUAUUGUUAAGGAACUCGGCAAAAUGACCCCGUAACUUCGGGAGAAGGGGUGCCUGCGAGAGCAGGCCGCAGAGAAGAGGCCCAAGCAACUGUUUAGCAAAAACACAGGUCUAUGCAAAACCGAAAGGUGAGGUAUAUGGGCUGACGCCUGCCCGGUGCUGGAAGGUUAAGGGGAGUGGUCAGGAAACGAAGCCACGAACUUAAGCCCCAGUAAACGGCGGCCGUAACUAUAACGGUCCUAAGGUAGCGAAAUUCCUUGUCGGGUAAGUUCCGACCCGCACGAAAGGCGUAAUGUUUUGGGCGCUGUCUCGACAAUACAUCCGGUGAAAUUGAAGUGCCAGUGAAGAUGCUGGCUACCUGCGCCAGGACGGAAAGACCCCAUGGAGCUUUACUCCAGCUUGAUACUGGGACCCGGUAUUGCAUGUACAGGAUAGGUGGGAGGCUAGGAAAUGUGGACGCCAGUCUGCAUGGAGCCGCUGUUGGGAUACCACCCUUGUGGUGCUGGGUUUCUAACCAGAGGCCGUGAACCGGUCUGGGGACAAUGUCAGGUGGGAAGUUUGACUGGGGCGGUCGCCUCCGAAAGGGUAUCGGAGGCGCCCAAAGGUUCCCUCAGAAUGGUUGGAAACCAUUCGAAGAGUGCAAAGGCAGAAGGGAGCUUGACUGCGACACCGACGGGUGGAGCAGGUACGAAAGUAGGGCUUAGUGAUCCGGUGGAAUUUAAGUGGGAAUGCCAUCGCUCAACGGAUAAAAGCUACCCUGGGAUAACAGGCUGAUCACUCCCAAGAGUUCACAUCGACGGAGUGGUUUGGCACCUCGAUGUCGGCUCAUCGCAUCCUGGGGCUGAAGUCGGUCCCAAGGGUUGGGCUGUUCGCCCAUUAAAGCGGUACGCGAGCUGGGUUCAGAACGUCGUGAGACAGUUCGGUCCCUAUCCGGCGUGGGCGUAGGAUAUCUGAGAGGGGCUGUCCUUAGUACGAGAGGACCGGGAUGGACUGACCUCUGGUGUACCGGUUGGCGAUCAACGCCACGGCCGGGUAGCCAUGUCGGGACGGGAUAAACGCUGAGGGCAUCUAAGCGUGAAGCCCCCCUCAAGAUGAGAUAUCCCAUCGUAAGAGUAAGACCCCUUGAAGACGACGAGGUUGAUAGGGCAGGGGUGGAAGUGCCGUAAGGCAUGGAGCUGACUGCUACUAAUCGGUCGAGGGCUUGACCA
rnacentral:rRNA from 1 species